rnacentral:rRNA from 1 species
UACGAAGGGUGCAAGCGUUAAUCGGAAUUACUGGGCGUAAAGGGUGCGUAGGCGGUUCGUUAAGUCUGUCGUGAAAUCCCCGGGCUCAACCUGGGAAUGGCGAUGGAUACUGGCGAGCUAGAGUGUGUCAGAGGAUGGUGGAAUUCCCGGUGUAGCGGUGAAAUGCGUAGAGAUGUGGAGGAACACCAGUGGCGAAAGCGGCUUCCUGGUCCAGCACCGACGUUCAGGCACGAAAGCGUGGGGAGCAAACAGG